CGGGGGGGGCAAGCGUUGUUCGGAAUUACUGGGCGUAAAGGGCUCGUAGGCGGCCAACUAAGUCGGACGUGAAAUCCCUCGGCUUAACCGGGGAACUGCGUCCGAUACUGGAUGGCUAGAGUUCGGGAGAGGGAUGCGGAAUUCCAGGUGUAGCGGUGAAAUGCGUAGGUAUCUGGAGGAACACCGGUGGCGAAGGCGGCAUCCUGGACCGACACUGACGCUGAGGAGCGAAAGCCAGGGGAGCAAACGGGAUUAGAUACCCCGGUAGUCCUGGCCCUAAACGAUGAAUGCUUGGUGUGGCGGGUAUCGAUCCCUGCCGUGCCGAAGCUAACGCAUUAAGCAUUCCGCCUGGGGAGUACGGUCGCAAGGCUG
rnacentral:rRNA from 1 species